rnacentral:rRNA from 1 species
ACAACGACUCUCGGCAACGGAUAUCUCGGCUCUCGCAUCGAUGAAGAACGCAGCGAAAUGCGAUACGUGGUGUGAAUUGCAGAAUCCCGUGAAUCAUCGAGUUUUUGAACGCAAGUUGCGCCCGAGGCCUCAUGGUUGAGGGCAAGCCUGCCUGGGCGUCACG